UACUCCUACGGGAGGCAGCAGUGGGGAAUAUGGACAAUGGACCAAGAGUCUGAUCCAGCAAUUCUGUGUGCACGAUGAAGUUUUUCGGAAUGUAAAGUGCUUUCAGUCGGGAAGAAAGAAAUGACGGUACCAACAGAAGAAGUGACGGCUAAAUACGUGCCAGCAGCCGCGGUAAUACGUAUGUCACGAGCGUUAUCCGGAUUUAUUGGGCGUAAAGCGCGUCUAGGUGGUUAUAUAAGUCUGAUGUGAAAAUGCAGGGCUCAACUCUGUAUUGCGUUGGAAACUGUAUAACUAGAGUACUGGAGAGGUAAGCGGAACUACAAGUGUAGAGGUGAAAUUCGUAGAUAUUUGUAGGAAUGCCGAUGGGGAAGCCAGCUUACUGGACAGAUACUGACGCUGAAGCGCGAAAGCGUGGGUAGCAAACAGGAUUAGAUACCCUGGUAGUCCACGCCGUAAACGAUGAUUACUAGGUGUUGGGGGUCGAACCUCAGCGCCCAAGCAAACGCGAUAAGUAAUCCGCCUGGGGAGUACGUACGCAAGUAUGAAACUCAAAGGAAUUGACGGA
rnacentral:rRNA from 1 species